AACGUAGGGGGCAAGCGUUAUCCGGAUUUACUGGGCGUAAAGCGCCCGUAGGCGGCCUGACAAGUUGGACGUGAAAGCUCCUGGCUUAACUAGGAGAGGCCGUUCAAAACUGUCAAGCUAGAGUCUGGAAGAGGAGAGCGGAAUUCCCGGUGUAGUGGUGGAAUGCGUAGAGAUCGGGAGGAACACCAGUGGCGAAAGCGGCUCUCUGGUCCAAAACUGACGCUGAGGGGCGAAAGCGUGGGGAGCGAACGGG
rnacentral:rRNA from 1 species